CGUCCUAUUAGCUAGUUGGUGAGGUAAUGGCUCACCAAGGCUACGAUGGGUAGGGGUUCUUAGUGGAGGGUCCCCCACACUGGCACUGAGAUACGGGCCAGACUCCUACGGGAGGCAGCAGUAGGGAAUAUUGGUCAAUGGGCGCAAGCCUGAACCAGCCAUGCCGCGUGCAGGGUGAAGGCUCUNUGAGUUGUAAACUGCUUUUGUACAGGAGCAAAAAAAUCCCUGCGGGGGUUCUUGAGAGUACUGUAAGAAUAAGCACCGGCUAAUUCCGUGCCAGCAGCCGCGGUAAUACGGGAGGUGCAAGCGUUAUCCGGUUUUAUUGGGUUUAAAGGGUGCGUAGGCGGCUUAUUAAGUCAGUUGUGAAAUCCUAGUGCUUAACGCUAGAACUGCGAUUGAUACUAUU
rnacentral:rRNA from 1 species